rnacentral:rRNA from 1 species
GAUGAACGCUGACCGAAUGCUUAACACAUGCAAGUCUUUGGCGAAGCUGUGCUUGCACAGCCUAGCCAAGGCGGACGGGUGAGUAACGCGUAAGGAACUUGCCCUGCAGUCAGGGAUAACAGACGGAAACGACUGAUGAGACCUGGUAAAGUCAGGCGGACUCAUGUCCAGCCUGAUGAAAAGAGAUGCUGCAGGAGAGCCUUGCGUCCUAUUAGCUUGUUGGUGGGGUAACGGCCCACCAAGGCGAUGAUAGGUAGCCGGCCUGAGAGGGUGGACGGCCACAAGGGGACUGAGAUACGGCCCUUACUCCUACGGGAGGCAGCAGUGGGGAAUAUUGGACAAUGGGGGCAACCCUGAUCCAGCAAUUCUGUGUGCACGAUGAAGGUUUUCGGAUUGUAAAGUGCUUUCAGCAGGGAGGAAAAAAAUGACGGUACCUGCAGAAGAAGCGACGGCUAAAUACGUG